ACAAGGUUUCCGUAGGUGAACCUGCGGAAGGAUCAUUAAUGAUUAACUGUCUGUCGAGCUUGCUCACAGACUUAUCAUAUCCAUAACACCUGUGCACUUGUCGGAUGGCUUAGUGAAGACCGCAAGGUUGGAACUAUCCAUCUACUUUACAUAACAAUUUAGUAACAAAUGUAGUCUUAUUAUAACAUAAUAAAACUUUCAACAACGGAUCUCUUGGCUCUCGCAUCGAUGAAGAACGCAGCGAAAUGCGAUAAGUAAUGUGAAUUGCAGAAUUCAGUGAAUCAUCGAAUCUUUGAACGCACCUUGCGCUCCCUGGUAUUCCGGGGAGCAUGCCUGUUUGAGUGUCAUGAAAACCCUCAACCUUAGAUUGGUUAACACCUUUCUUUGGCUUGGAUUUGGACGUUUGCCGAUGAUAAGUCGGCUCGUCUUAAAAGUAAUAGCUGGAUCUGUCUCGCGACAUGGUUUGACUUGGCGUAAUAAGUAUUUCGCUAAGGACAUCUUCGGAUGGCCGCGUUGCAAGACUAAAGACCGCUUUCUAAUCCAUUGAUCUUCGGAUUAAUAUUCUUGACAUCUGGCCUCAAAUCAGGUAGGACUACCCGCUGAACUUAAGCAUAUCAAUAAGCGGAGG
rnacentral:rRNA from 1 species